CUCACGGACGUCAACGUCGAGACUCCGAAAAUUCUUUAUACUUCUACAACAUACAGCUGCGCAAAUUAAUUAUUGUAUCGAUAGUCGUACUGAAAAGUGACUGAGGAUUCACCCAAAAAAUCGGGGACAAUCGACCCGCGUCAGUGUUAUCCCUCUCACAAUAUUUCAGCAUUUCCGGCUAGGGGACAGGAUGAUCUUGUUUUUGGGGUGAUUUAUGUGAAGAUGAUCGAUUGGGGGAUUAUUCUGAGAACUGGAAGAUUAAAUUUUUUGUGUUGUUUUUAAUUUCAAGGGACACAUGAAUAUUCAAGGGAAAUUAGGUAAAUCCGGAUAUAUAGAGAUAUUCUCUCGGAAUUUUUGUGAAAUCUUUUUUCUGAUUCGUCUUUCCUUCCAGCUGAUUAUUGAAGAGAAUUUACUCAAAACGUUUACUGCGCUACUGAACAGAAGGUAAGAGUCUAAAUUUUUCAGAUAGCGAGGGCUUUUAGAGGAAAAGGUCAAACGGUAUCUAAGCCGGAUAUUCCCUAAUCUGGGGAAAAAACCUUGAAGUAAAAGCAAUUCUUCUAACUAUGAAUGGAGUAUAAUUUAUCGGAGAACAUUCCGAAAACGAGAAUUGCUUUAAAGUUUAAAAUAUAAUAUUAAUAUACGACCUGCAGAACAUCCUCACCGAAUAAAAUACAAGAAAUUAUAAUAACAUUAUUGAAAUUCCUAUCAUGUGCUUUGCGGCAUAAAAACAUUUAUAUAUUUACAUAAUCCAGGAGUCGAUAUCGAGGAACCCAUUAUCACUAAGUGAAAUCUUUUGAUAUUUUCUCCGAAUUCUCGUCUUCCACAAAUACCCAAUAAGUCAAUGAAUUCUGUAAAUUUAAUAAAUUAACAUUUCCGCUUAAUUUUUUUUACACAAAAACGCGAAAUAUUACGAUUAUCAGCAUUACUCGAUUAUCACUCGAUUACUGUCCAUUUUCACGUUUUGUCCUGAGCCCUUAGCGUUUCCAUAUUAAUUACUCCCAUCAUCUCGUUAUUACCACAUAUAAUUUAAUUCGUCCCAGAGGUAAAUUAUUCCCUGGAAAAUUCAGAGCUCGAUAAUUAUUUCAGAUGCAUUCUCUUUCACGCUCGUCUUUCCACCCAAGGAAUUCUCUUUUAAUCCCCCACUCGAGACUUGCCACGAUUUCCGGUGUUCCCUAUCUCUUUGAACGUAUUCCCGAAAAACGUCGGAGACGCAAGAAAUUAAUAGCUGUUGCUGCGCACCGAGUUUGAUUACCUUUCUUCCCUUCUCUCUCCACUCAAUCCUUGUGUCUCUUGUUCUCUUUAUUCUGUAUUUGAGUGAGACAAAGAGGAGACUUGUCUCGUCGGUGGUGUACGUCGUCAGGGCUCCCCAAGGCGCCAGGAAAUUAGCGGUGGAUCCUCGGUGGAAAGAAGGACAAAACCAUCGAAUUGGAGACAAUGGGGAUGAGGUAAAAUCUCGAGGCCUUUCCAACCGGUCUCGUACUCAGUCCCGUGAGAAAAUACUUUCCGUCGUCGAGAGGGUGGAGAAAUGUCGUAUGUACUUCGCAGGUGGGUAAGCAGUUUAAUUUGUUUACAGGCAAAACCGCAAGAGGAUUGUCCGAGGCUUUUCAGCUUCAAAAUUACGACUGAUGUCUCGCAUUCUGGAUUCUCUUCGUCCCUCUGCUAGAAUUUUUUUUUCUCAUUGUGAGAGGCCAUGAAUAAUUUCGUUUCACCUCUAGUCGAUUUCAUUUUCACUUCAAAAAUGGAAAAUACUGACAUCUCAUCACCCUUGAAAUUUCAAGUUGAAAAA